rnacentral:rRNA from 1 species
CCUUAAGUCGUGGAUACCCUCGGGAAACUGAGGUUAAACCUCGAUAGGAGACAUACCCUGGAAAGAUUUGUCUCAUAAACUUGAGCUUAAGGAUGGGGCUGCGGCGGAUUAGGUUGUUGGCGGGGUAAUAGCCCACCAAGCCGAAGAUCCGUAAGGGCUCUUAGCGGAGAGGCCCUGAGAGGGAAUCUGAGACACUAUUCCCAGCCCUACGGGGUGCAGCAGUUAGGAAUCUUCUGCAAUGCGCGCAAGCGUGACAGAGCGAACCAGAGUGUCUUUCAUAUGAAAGACUUUUGCUAGAUGCAAAAAGUCUGGCGAAUAAGGACUGGGUAAGACAGGUGCCAGCCGCCGCGGUAAUCCCUGCGGUCCAAGUCGCAGUCAUCAUUAUUGGGUCUAAAACAUCCGUAGCUUGUUUAAUAAGUUCUCUGUGAAAUCCCAUGUCUCAAAUGUGGGGCGUGCAGAGAGUACUGUUAGACUAGAGACUGGAAGACGUAAAAAGUAUGUUCAGAGUAGUAGUGAAAUAUUUUAAUCCUGAGCAGACUCACAACAGCGAAGGCAUUUUACGAGGACAGUUCUGACAGUAAGGGAUGAAGGCUAGGGUCGCGAAAGGGAUUAGAUACCCCUGUAGUCCUAGCAGUAAACACUGUACACUAAACCUUGUGACCUCCUCGAGAGGUUGCAGGGCUGUAGCGAAGGCGAAGAGUGUACUACCUGGGAAGUAUAGCCGCAAGGCCGAAACUUAAAGGAAUUGGCGGGGGAGCAC